GUUUCUGUGGUGAGGGGGCUGCCGGUGGUUUGUUCUUUCAACUAAAUCCUGUUGUUGCUAGCCGUUUGGGUCUAUACUGCGCUUAUGAACUGCAACACUCCCCGUGAAAGUCUGCAGCUUUACUCAUCAAGCCAAUGAGACUGUGAAUCUGCUAGAAGGAACGGACAACUCCAGCUGCACUGCCUUAGAGAGCUUGUAACACCGCAAAGGUCUGCAGCUUCACUGCUGAGGCAUCUGAAAAACCUCUUGCACAUGGACAAACAUUUAUUGGAGGAAUGAAGACAAAGUUGGAGACUGCCUGUAGCUCCAUGACACCUUGUCUGACAAACUAGUCAGCUCUCCUUGGACUUAGCCGUGGGAAGGCUCUCAGAUGGUGGCAAGAAACUCAGUGAGUCGGAUAUUUUACCUUAAUGGUUGACAACAUUGUUGGGGGAUACGAUCUUUUUUGUAAGGAACUUGAAAAACUAAGGUCUGUCAUAUAGGUAAAUAACAACUGUUGAAAAAAGAUAAGAGAAAGGAAAAAUGAACAUAGAAG
rnacentral:lncRNA from 1 species